rnacentral:rRNA from 1 species
ACGCCACCUGGUGGAUGACUAGGCUCGGUUGCCGAAGACGGUCGUGCCAAGCAGCGAUAUGCUUCGGGGAGGCGCAUGGAGCCUUUGAUCCGAAGAUUGCCGAAUGGGACUUCCCAAACUCUAGUAGUUUAAUCCGAAAGGAUGGGGAACGCUCCGAAUUGAAACAUCUUAGUAGGAGCAGGAAAAGAAAUCAAAUGAGAUGAGGUUAGUAAAGGCGAUCGAACACCUCAUAGAGCAAUCCGAAUCUUCUGAUGAAAAUCAGUAGAAAUGUGGAGUGGCCUGUUUACAUCUUAACACUAUUAUCCGAAUUUCGUGUGGAACACCGGCGCCAAAGAGGGUGAUAGCCCCGUAGGAGACGCAGUGAAAGAUGAUUUUCAGGACCCAAGAGUAGCGUGCAUUGGAUAUUGCGCGUGAAUAUGGGAGGUACUAACUUCCAACUCUAAAUACAAACCGAGACCGACAGCGCAAUAGUAGCGUGAGCGAAAGUUGUAAAGUAUCCCUGACGGGAGAUUAAUAAGAUCCUGAAAUCAGGUGGUAACAGACUGGUAUGGCAUGCAAGGGAUUAAGCGGUUACACCGCCGCACCGAUGUCAUACCGUUCGAUUCGAAAAUUGAUCCGUGGAGUUUCUAUCAUUGGCGAGGUUAAGUGCGUAAGUACGAAGCCGUAGGGAAACCGAUAGCCCGCAGCGCAAGCGAGGGGCAAGGUGUGCUCGCCUGGAGUCAAUGGUUGGAUACCCGAAGCCGGUCGAUCUAUGCCUGGGCAGGGUGAAGCCUUUCGGAAGAAGGGUGGAGGCCCGAACCAGUACUGAUGUGCAAAUCGUUUGGAUGACCUGGGUAUAGGGGCGAAAGACCAAUCUAGACCGGCAAUUGCUGGUUCCUCUCGAAACUGCUCGCAGGCAGACCUCAGCAGAGACGGGGCAUGCGGUAGAGCACUGAUUGCGUGUUUAGGAAGCGAAAGUUUUCGGCAUGCUGUCAAACUCCGAAUGUGUGUCCGUUGUAGAAGCUGGGCAGUGAGGGCAUCGGGGUAAGCUUGAUGUCCAUAAGGAAAACAAACCAGACCAAAGUUAAGGUCCCUAAGUAAUAGCUAAGUGUUAAAGAACAAAUAGUGUUUAACAGCAUAGACAGCUGGAAGGUUGGCUUAGAGGCAGCCAUCCUUUAAAGAGUUCGUAACAGAUCACCAGUCAAGUUCUUGAGCCUAGAAAAUGGACGGGACUAAGUUGUUCACCGAUACUUUGGGCCACCGAAAGGUGAUGCGGUAGAGAGGCGUCGUGCGCGGGUGGAAGUGGGGCCGAGAGGUCCUGUGGACCGCGUUCGAAUGAUAAUCAUGGAAAGAGUAGUAGCGUAGAUGGGUGAGAAUCCCAUCCGCCGGAGGGGCUAGGGUUCCUCGACGAUGUUCAUCAGUCGAGGGUUAGUCGGUCCUAAGGUUCCCCCUAACAGGAGGAAUCGAAAGGGAAGCAGGUUAAAAUUCCUGCACCAAUUCAUAUUUUGUCCAGUUCCUGACACAUCGGGUCGUGUGGAGCACUCUUGUCGGAGUGUUGCCUUGAGCAAUAAAUUUGUGGAGUACCGUAAUGGUGAGAAGCAAACUAAGCUCUCGGGAGGCGGAGUAUUUCGCUUCUGCGUUAGCCUGGUGUCCGUGAAAAGGGAGCUGGAGCCGUAUGAGUUGUCCGUACCGAGAUCUGACACAGGUGCCCCUAGGUGAGUAGCCUAAGGCGUCGCGGCAGAAUCCGGGCGAGGGAAUUCGGCAAAUUAGCCCCGUACCUUUGGUAUAAGGGGUGCCAGCUCUGAAGAGAGCUGGUCGCAGUGACUAGGGAGCUCCGACUGUUUAUUAAAAACACAGGUGGCUGCUAGUCCGUAAGGAUGUGUAUAGCCGCUGAAUCCUGCCCAGUGGCAGUAUCUGAAACCAGGUUUCAACCUGACGAAGGACUGCUAAACGGCGGGGGUAACUAUGACCCUCUUAAGGUAGCGUAAUACCUUGUCGCUUAAUUGGCGACUUGCACGAACGGCCUAACGAGAGCUCUACUGUCCCCGCCCGGAGCCCGAUGAAAUUGACUUACUGGCGCACAGUCCAGUACGUCCCAGCCGCAAGCGAAGACCCCGUGGAGCUUUACUGCAACCUGCCGUUGUGGCACGAGUUGUUAUGUGUAGCGUAGACGGGAGACAUUACACAGGUGCGAGCGCUAGCUCGUCGCCGAGUCACCGAUGAAACACCGUCCUUUUCGAUUCGUCCCACUCACCUCUUAGGAGGAACCCCGGUAGGCGGGCAGUUUGGGUGGGGCGCCACUCCCU